AUUGAACGCUGGCGGCAGGCCUAACACAUGCAAGUCGAACGGUAACAGGAAACAGCUUGCUGUUUCGCUGACGAGUGGCGGACGGGUGAGUAAUGUCUGGGAAACUGCCUGAUGGAGGGGGAUAACUACUGGAAACGGUAGCUAAUACCGCAUAACGUCGCAAGACCAAAGAGGGGGACCUUCGGGCCUCUUGCCAUCGGAUGUGCCCAGAUGGGAUUAGCUAGUAGGUGGGGUAACGGCUCACCUAGGCGACGAUCCCUAGCUGGUCUGAGAGGAUGACCAGCCACACUGGAACUGAGACACGGUCCAGACUCCUACGGGAGGCAGCAGUGGGGAAUAUUGCACAAUGGGCGCAAGCCUGAUGCAGCCAUGCCGCGUGUAUGAAGAAGGCCUUCGGGUUGUAAAGUGCUUCAGCGGGGAGGAAGGGAGUAAAGUUAAUACCUUUACUCAUUGACGUUACCCGCAGAAGAAGCACCGGCUAACUCCGUG
rnacentral:rRNA from 1 species